rnacentral:rRNA from 1 species
UACAUGGGGUGCAAACGUUGCUCGGAAUUAUUGGGCGUAAAGCGCACGUAGGUGGUUCGUUAAGUCGGAUGUGAAAGCCCUCGGCUCAACUGAGGAAGUGCACCCGAAACUGGCGAGCUUGAGUACGAAAGAGGAUCGCGGAAUUCCCGGUGUAGAGGUGAAAUUCGUAGAUAUCGGGAGGAACACCGGGUGGCGAAGGCGGCGAUCUGGGUCGAUACUGACGCUGAGGUGCGAAAGCGUGGGGAGCAAACAGG